rnacentral:rRNA from 1 species
AACGUCUCAGUUCGGAUUGUAGUCUGCAACUCGACUACAUGAAGCUGGAAUCGCUAGUAAUCGCGAAUCAGAAUGUCGCGGUGAAUACGUUCCCGGGUCUUGUACACACCGCCCGUCACACCAUGAGAGUUGGGAAUACCCGAAGCCUGUGAGCUAACUUUAAGAGGCAGCAGUCGAAGGUAGAAUCAAUGAUUGGGGUGAAGUCGUAACAAGGUAAC